UCAAACUUGGUCAUUUAGAGGAAGUACAAGUCGUAACAAGGUUUCCUUAGGUGAACCUGCGGAAGGAUCAUUAACAAAUCGUGUUGUGUGUGAUGUGUUGGGCUGGUUAUUUUAAUUAAUAUAUCUACCACAUAUUAUCAUGUACACAUAUAUGUGCUCCGGGCAUUUCGCCUGGUUGCUACAAAUUAUAUAUAUUCAUUAUUGUAUAGUUGUAUUAUAGUUGUAAAAUUAAUGUAUAAACACUUUUAACAAUGGAUCUCUUGGCUCUUGCAUCGAUGAAGAACGCAGC
rnacentral:misc_RNA from 1 species